GACGAACGCUGGCGGCGUGCCUAAUACAUGCCAGUAGAACGCUGAAGGCGGAGCUUGCUUCUCUGGAUGAGUUGCGAACGGGUGAGUAACGCGUAGGUCACCUGCCUGGUAGCGGGGGAUAACUAUGGGAAACGAUAGCUAAUACCGCAUAAGUGUAGAUGUUGCAUUACAUUUGCUUAAAAUCUGCAAUUCCAUCUCUACCAGAUCGACCUGCGUUGUAUUAGCCCGUUGGUGGGGUCAAGGCUCACCAACGCGACGAUACAUAGCCGACGUGAGAGGGUGGUCGGCCACAAUGGGGCAGGGACACGGCCCAGACUCCUGCGGGGGGCAGGAGUAGGGAAUCUUCGGCAAUGGGCGGAAGUCUGGCCGAGCAACGCCGCGUGAGUGAAGAAGGUUUUCGGAUCGUAAAGCUCUGUUGUAAGAGAAGGACGGGUGUUAGAGUGGAAAGUUCACGCUGUGACGGUAUCUUACCAGAAAGGAACGGCUAACUACGUG
rnacentral:rRNA from 1 species